AUCAUUACCGAGUUAUACAACUCCCAAACCCACUGUGAACCUUACCUCAGUUGCCUCGGCGGGACCGCCCCGGCCGCCGCGCAAGCGGCGCCGGACUCCAAGGCGCCCGCCGCAGGGACCCAAAACUCUUUUGCAUUACGCCCAACGGCGGGAAUUUUUUCUCUGAGUGCAUAAGCAAAACAAAUGAAUCAAAACUUUCAACAACGGAUCUCUUGGUUCUGGCAUCGAUGAAGAACGCAGCGAAAUGCGAUAAGUAAUGUGAAUUGCAGAAUUCAGUGAAUCAUCGAAUCUUUGAACGCACAUUGCGCCCGCCAGCAUUCUGGCGGGCAUGCCUGUUCGAGCGUCAUUUCAACCCUCGAGCCCCCCCGGGGGCCUCGGUGUUGGGGGACGGCACACCAGCCGCCCCCGAAAUGCAGUGGCGACCUCGCCGCAGCCUCCCCUGCGUAGUAGCACACACCUCGCACCGGAGCGCGGAGACGGUCACGCCGUAAAACGCCCAAC
rnacentral:rRNA from 1 species